rnacentral:misc_RNA from 1 species
UUUCCGUAGGUGAACCUGCGGAAGGAUCAUUGUCGUGACCCUGACCAAAACAGACCGCGCACGCGUCAUCCAAUCCGUCGAUGAUGGGCAUCGUCCAUCGCUCGGCCAUCCUCGAUCACGUCCACUCCUAGGAGUGGGGGGGGGAGGGGGCUCGAGGUAAAAGACCCCACGGCGCCGAAGGCGUCAAGGAACACUGUGUCUAACCCGAGGGCAUGGCUAGCUUGCUGGUCAUCCCUCGUGUUGCAAUUAUAUUUAAUCCACACGACUCUCGGCAACGGAUAUCUCGGCUCUC